rnacentral:rRNA from 1 species
UAGCUUGACACUGAACAUUGAGCCUUGAUGUGUAGGAUAGGUGGGAGGCUUUGAAGUGUGGACGCCAGUCUGCAUGGAGCCGACCUUGAAAUACCACCCUUUAAUGUUUGAUGUUCUAACGUGGACCCGUGAUCCGGGUUGCGGACAGUGUCUGGUGGGUAGUUUGACUGGGGCGGUCUCCUCCUAAAGAGUAACGGAGGAGCACGAAGGUUGGCUAAUCC